rnacentral:tRNA from 1 species
AGAGGUGGCAGAGUGGCUAAAUGCACCGACCUGAUACGUCGGCGGUCGGGCAACCGACCCACGGGUUCGAAUCCCGUCCUCUCCG